rnacentral:lncRNA from 1 species
AUGCCCACUCCCAAGCCCACUGACGGGCUCCCGGGCGAACAGGAGGGCAGCCAGGUGAGCCAUGCCGCUGCAGGGCAAGGCCAGCAAGGGACACGGCACCCGCACACACAGCGAGAGGCCCGUGGGGAAGGGGAGCCGGGGCGAGACAGCCAGCCUGGAGCUCCUCCAGCAGUGGAGGAGAUUCAUUCCUGCCUCGGGGCAUUUUCUCUCAGGCACGGCUCCCUCAUGCAGACACCCCAAGGCCCACACAGCCACACAGAGACCAGCUCUGGGCUGAGCUCAGCCUGGCCAAGCUCAGCCAGCAGGUUCCCUUGGAAAUGGGGCUGGGCUUUCCRGCACYUYGGGGCCACGCCUGCCAAAGCCACCACAUCCGUCAUGCAUCUUCUCCCCACAGGUGUACCACACGGAGCCGCUCGCAGCCACGAAGCAUGGCCACACCCCGGCUUCGUCCCACCGGGACASGCUGCCCUCGCUCCCCACCCCAAAGCUCUCACAGGACAACGCACACAGCAGCCAAAAGGUACGCAGGUGAACAGAGACCGUGCUCGAGCCUCUUUGCGGCUCCUCGGAGCUGCCGAUAACCGCAGGGGACGGUCCUGCAAGACAACAGGACGGCCCCAGCACCCCCCCGCAGGCCCACCGCCUGCUACGCACGGCGGUCUGCAAAGCCACCCCUCAGGGCCUCCCUUGCCCCGCGCUACACAAGCCCUCUCCCAGGACGGCUCUUGCGAGCGCGGUGGCAGCGGCCGUCGUGGGUUCGUGGGGGAGCUGCCACCAGGUCUCGUGGCAGGGGCUGCAGGACGUCUGGCAGCUGAGAAGGACAGAGCGUGGUGGGGAAGGACCGCAGUAACUCGGCCCUUCUUGGUUGCUUCUCUUGCAGAGCGACAGGGUGUCCCCACAGGGUCACACCACACACCUGCCCAGGCUGAGCCAUGGAGGGCUGAGCACUCCACUCGAGGGCACCACGACACAGGUGCUGCACCGCACACCAGCCGUGGAGGCGAUGGCCCCCUACAAUGGAAAGGUCACGCAGGUGGCACACAACAUUGUCACCAACACCCUCCACGCAGCCCUCGACGCAGCUCACGAUCCCCGCGCCUCCAUGUUACAGAAGGCUCCCUCAGAGCGCCGGCAGGGACCCCAUCUGCUCUGCUCUCUGCCUCCCCCAAACAAGGCGGCAGCCAGCGCUGGGCUGUCCCUGGACACACCACGGGCAGCUCAAAUGCCAGGAUUGCCAGCUGGAGACAAGCUGCCCCGUUUGCAAACGGCCCAGGGGCCUUCUCCCAGGACCAGCGCAAAUGCCGCACGCAGAGGAGACCUGAACAACGAUACCAUCAGCGCGGCAAAAAACGUCCUGAAGAGGCUGACUGCCUCUCAGCUACCCGAGCAGGAUGCUCAUGGCCUCCUCAGCACCAGCAAAGAGCCACCUUACAGAGCAGUGCUGGGAAAGCCAAGCACACCGCAUGGCCAAGGCCGCAGCAUAACUCUUCCCCCAAUCACCGGGAAGACUUCAGCACACUCCCCUUUUCCUGGGGGAGACAAGAGCCUUCCCCAAGGGGACAGCCAAGGCAGGCCAGCACACAAGGAGCACGACGAGCCAUUGGUGACCUCUCCCAUUGCACCAAGGCUGCCACAGCCCCUGCCUCCGAUUGA